ensembl:lncRNA
CUGUAUCUAUGCUGUCAAGCACUUUCUCGCUCCAAAUGAUGUAUUAACACAACAGUUGAUCUGGGGAAAGGUUGUUUCUGGAAACUGCUUGAGGGAUUAUGAACUUGGGCCAGAAACAUAUUGCUGCUUGACCAUAUUCCAGUGUGAAAACAAACACGAGUUCAUAUUGAGUAGAAUCCCAUAGUUCUUACCAUUGACCUGAUAGAAUCUUUGUAGAAGCAUAGAAUCAUAAAAUCAUUAAGGUUGGAAAGACCAUAGAAUCAUAGAAUGAUAAAAUCAUAAGGCUGGAAAGGACCUACAAGAUCAUCUAGUUCAACCCUCCUCCCAUUACCCUUGCUACCACAAGCUACUAAACCAUAUCUCAUAGCUACUCAUCCAGACACCUCUUGAACAAUGCCAGGGAUGGCAACUCCACCACCUCCAUGGGCAGCCCAUUCCAGUGCCUGACCACUCUCUGAGAGAAAAAGUUUUUCCUUAUGUCAAAUCUAAACCUCCUCUAGUACAACUUCUCUCCAUUUCCUCAGGUUCUGUUUGUUGCCUGGGAGAAGAGGGCAAAUCCCUCCUCAUCACAAUCUCCCUUCAGGAAGUUGCAGAGUGCAAUGAGGUCUCCCCUGAGCCUCCUCUUCUCCAGACUAAAAAAUCCCAGCUCCCUCAGCCACUCCUCAUAAGGCCUGUGCUCCAGACCCCUCACCAGUUUCAUUGCCCUUCUCUGGACACAUUCCAAGGACUCAAUGUCUUUCUUGUAGUGAGGGGCCCAAAACUGAACACAGUACUUGAGGUGCAGCCUCACCAGUGCUGAGUACAGGGAGAUGAUUACCUCCCUGCUCCUGCUGGCCAUGCUAUUUCUAAUGCAGGCCAGGAUGGCAUUGGCCCUCUUGGCCACCUGGGCCCACUGUCCGCUCAUGUUUAGCCAAGCAUCAACCAACACCCCCAGGUCCCUUUCCUACUCUCAGUCAUCCAGUCACUCAGCCCCAAGCCUAUAGCAUUGCAUGGGGUUGUUGUAGACAAAGUGCAGGAGCCGGCAGUUGGCCUUGUUGAACCUCAUCCCAUCCACCUCAGCCCAGCUAUCCAGCUUAUCUAGAUCCCUCUGAAGUGCCUCCCUACCAUCAGGCAGAUCGACAUCACCUCCCAACUUGGUGGUACACUCAAUCCCUUCAUCUAGGUCAUCAAUAAAGAUAUUAAACAAGAUGGGCCCCAGUACCAACUCCUUGGGGACACCACUUGAAACUGGUUGCCAGCUGGACUUAAGUCCAUUAACUACUAUCCAUUGGGCACGGCCCUCUAGCCAGUUUCUUACCCAAGGAAGGGUAUAUCUGUCCAGGCCACCAACAUCCUUUAGUCCAGCCAUUAACCCAUCACCCCAUUCCACUAAACUGUGUGCCUCUGUGCCACAUCUACCCUUUUCUUGAAUACCUCCAAGGGACAGUGACUCCACUACCUCCUCAGACUUGGGAGACUUCGAUCCCGUAAGAAAUUUCUUCUCAGCCUUUUGCAACAAGAGAACUACUAGCUCUCAGUACAUUUCAGAUGAGCCAAGUC